CCCUACCGUUCUGUGAGGUG
rnacentral:miRNA from 1 species